GGCUUAUAUGGCCACUGAAAGGAAUGCAGUCCUGGCCAAGUACUUUUCCAGUGAAAAAAUGUUAAUUUGUUCCAUGCCAUCACCAAUUUUUUGUGUACCUAUGUUCAAAGUCAACUUUCACUGAUCAUCAUCAGAGAGAGAGAAUUUGUAAAUACACUGUAUUAAAUCAUGUUUGGUAGCAACCUGUGAACCGUGCUGAUAAAAGAAGAAUUGACCCAAACUACUCAACCUCAGACUAAUGAGAUCAAAAGACAUCAGAGAAGAAGAAUGGAUAAAAGAAUGGUCCUGGUUUUUCCUCUCAUUUCUGAAGGGAAAUUAAAUAACAGCACGGCUCUACAUUAUAGCCUUCCUUUCUGCUUAGCUUUAAUUUUAGUCAUCUUUUGCUGGUUCCUGUUAUACCCAGU